rnacentral:rRNA from 1 species
AUCACUCCUACGGGAGGCAGCAGUGGGGAAUCUUAGACAAUGGGGGCAACCCUGAUCUAGCCAUGCCGCGUGAGUGAUGAAGGCCUUAGGGUCGUAAAGCUCUUUCGCCAGGGAUGAUAAUGACAGUACCUGGAUAAAACGAAACCCCGGCUAACUCCGUGCCAGCAGCCGCGGUAAUAGCGGAGGGGGUUAGCGUUGUUCGGAAUUAACUGGGCGUAAAGCGCGCGUAGGCGGAUCAGAAAGUUGGGGGUGAAAUCCCGGGGCUCAACCCCGGAACUGCCUCCAAAACUCCUGAUCUAGAGUUCGAGAGAGGUGAGUGGAAUUCCGAGUGUAGAGGUGAAAUUCGUAGAUAUUCGGAGGAACACCAGUGGCGAAGGCGGCUCACUGGCUCGAUACUGACGCUGAGGUGCGAAAGUGUGGGGAGCAAACAGGAUUAGAUACCCUGGUAG